rnacentral:rRNA from 1 species
ACGAACGCUGGCGGCGUGCUUAACACCUGCAAGUCGAACGGAAAGGCCCUGCUUUUGUGGGGUGCUCGAGUGGCGAACGGGUGAGUAACACGUGAGUAACCUGCCCUUGACUUUGGGAUAACUUCAGGAAACUGGGGCUAAUACCGGAUAGGAGCUCCUGCUGCAUGGUGGGGGUUGGAAAGUUUCGGCGGUUGGGGAUGGACUCGCGGCUUAUCAGCUUGUUGGUGGGGUAGUGGCUUACCAAGGCUUUGACGGGUAGCCGGCCUGAGAGGGUGACCGGCCACAUUGGGACUGAGAUACGGCCCAGACUCCUACGGGAGGCAGCAGUGGGGAAUAUUGCAAAAUGGGCGGAAGCCUGAUGCAGCAACGCCGCGUGCGGGAUGACGGCCUUCGGGUUGUAAACCGCUUUCGCCUGUGACGAAGCGUGAGUGACGGUAAUGGGUAAAGAAGCACCGGCUAACUACGUG